AACAUCAUUUCUGCUCGGGUGCAGUGUGGCGUCGGUCAUACCAUAUCCUCGCGGUACCGUGACAAGAUGGUGGCGGCAAGGAGGUGCCGUGUGUGUCACAUCCGGUUGACCGGCGGCUAUCACUGGAACAUCGCACUGGAGAGGCUAACAGAGUCCAUCCGGGUGCCGUGCGCCAACACCGCCCACGGCUGCACUGCCACGCCGGCCUACUACGACCACCCCGACCACCUCAAGGCGUGCCCUCACGAUGCCAUGCUAUUGCCCGCAGGCAGACUGCGGUUUCGCUAGCUCCACGGCGGCACUCCUGGACCACUUUGCCCACACGCAUGGGUGGCCGUGCAUGAACGAGCUUGGGCCUGGGCGUGCGUCGAGGUCCAGCUCUGUGACGGCUUCAACGCCUUCUCAGCCCGUGCCCAAUGCCGGCAGUACCUGUUCCUGCUGAACGUGGCGUUGAACCCGUUUGGCCGAGCGGUCUCCGUGCUCUCCCUGCAUCCUCGGGCGUUGUCGGCGGCGCCAUGUUCUUUGGAGUUCGAGAACUCAGAUUUAUGACAAGGACACAAGCAAAUUUAUAGCAUCCGUUGUGAUGAUACAAGGGAAGUAAGCAUAGAUGCGCUCAACGUGAUGAUAGAUGGGAGAGCUCGGCCUAUGCUGCCAACUGAUCUGCAGUGGUGCAGAAGGAGAUUUCAAAAGCAGGGCAAGCGAGAGCGACUGUUCUAUUGAUGGUCAAAGGGAGGGCUUGGCAAGAGAGAUUGAGGGAGCUCUACUACCUCGAUCUUGGCAUAGAACCUGAUGGCAUCAUGCCCAGGAAACUUCCUUCUUCAGUAUGUAUGGGGAUUUAUAUGACACCGAAAGAGAAGUCCGGCGUGUUUCUUGGUUCUAUGGAACCCCUCGACCGGAAGCAAAUAGAUCACAUCGCAAGUUGCUUUCCCAAUAUAAUCGUGCCGCAAGUUACCAACAUCGUGUGCUUAUACACCAUCGACUUUGCUGGAAAUCUAUCUGUCCGUGCUCCACCGUCUGUCGGAACUUCUUCUGCCCAUGCUACACCUGAGGUACAUACUACAGUCUCAUCAAUUAAUAAUACCCAAUUGCUUGU